AAUAAUAAGAAAAAGUAAAAGGAGAAAUAAUACUAAACAGUAAAUCCCACUAAACAGUUUAGUAAAUAAUACUAAACAGCAUAAAAUAAAAUUAAAACAAUGAAUAGUAGUAGUAAUUGUAAUAAUAAUAAGAAGAAGAAGUAAAAGGAGAAGUAAUACUAAGCAGUAAAUCCCAUCCUGACUUUUCUAUUGAAAUCUUUUAGCCUGAAUUGCUAGUGUAAUUCUAUAUGGGAAGAGCUUAUUAUAUGUCAGACUUGUGCUACAAACUGGAGACACAUACAAAAAAAUUCAUGAGACAUUUUUCUUGUAAUUAUCGGGCAUAGAGUUUAGUAAGUGGAGGUGAAAUGUAAAAAUUGCUUGCUAAAAAUUGUUACUUUUGAUAUACUAUUUCCCCACAGAGGAACAAGACAAGAAGUAUGAAGACAAGAAUUCUACAUGUGCUGAGUGAAGAAAGUUUUCAGAGUAGGCAAUUCAAGAUUAUCAAGAAACUAGAAAUUGGAUCCUUAGAGUAGAUCUAUAUUAGAUAUAUUUCAACCAGAUUACUUCAUAUUUUCACCAUGGUACCUCAUGAUCUCUCCGGAAACCCUCUACAGAAGAAAGCAGAAGAAGGAGAUACUCAGGUGAAGGUGAAAGAACACACAGCCAUCUAUAAACUUCAGCAUAAAAGAGCUGAAUAACAACACCAGUGUCCAUCAUCGUACCUCCCUGAAGGUGGGUGUUUAUGAGAAAUGUCCAGAGGACAAAAGUAAGGCAUGAAUUGGACAACCCCCGUUGGUAACUUACAUCCUGAAACAAGAGAUUUGAUUACCCUUAUCAUUAUCUCUGCUUGCUGAGCAGAGCUCCCAAAGCUAUUAGUGGUCAUAAAAUUACCCAGCUGUUUUUUAAAUUCAACCAUAGUAUUUGACUCAGUGACCUCUUCGGUCAAUGAAUUUCACAGGUUGACUAUACACAUUUAUAAGGCAUUAUUUACUUCAAUUUGUUCUGAAUUUACUGCCCCUUAUUUUUAUCAAGUGUCUCCUUGUCCUCAUCUUAUUAUGAGACAAGGUUAAAAAAAAAAGGUGUCCUUUGUAAUUCUGAAUGCUUCAAUCAAUGACUUUUCUAAAAUACACCAGAUUUUAGAAUCUUUUAUUAGGAAAAUGAAAAAUCUAGCUGUAUUCCAUCUAGUCUCUAUUAAUAUUUUAUUCUCACCAUGAUUUUUUAUUACUUGGCUGUGAAUUCAAUGCCUGUUAUACCUCCUCAUUCUAUUUCUUUCAUGUUACUAACAGCACAAGAAUGACAAUCAUGAAUAUGUAUCUUUUUCCAAUAAGAAAAUUCAGGUUUGUAAUGAUCUGAAAUGAUUAAAAUCUAAUAUGAUUUUCUAUUAAUUGAAAUAUUUUUCUUGGUAAAGCAAAUAUAUUCCAAAUACUUAAAUUUCAAGCUAACUGAACCAGAGCUUCCAUAAGUUUCCUUCAAUAAGGUAUUUUUGACAUUAUCUCCUCUAGAAUAGAUUCAUUUGUGAGAUUGUUCUGCAGUGAUUUGGAUCCACCAAAAUUAGAGGAGUGGAUAAGCUGAUUAUCUAGUCAUGUGAUUCUAUUGCAGUUCAUCUGAAUAAAGGAUUUUGUAUUUUACCA
ensembl:lncRNA